rnacentral:rRNA from 1 species
CACGUGAACAACCUGCUCUCGUGUGGGGGAUAGCCAUGCUAACGCGUGGGUAAUACCGCAUACGUUCUUGAGGAGGAGUCUCCUUGGGAAGAAAGCUCUGGCGCGCGGGGAGGGGUUCGCGGCCUAUCAGCUAGUUGGUGCGGUAACGGCGCACCAAGGCGACGACGGGUAGCUGGUCUGAGAGGAUGGCCAGCCACAUUGGGACUGAGAUACGGCCCAG